UGUCCUCUUCCUGAACACACUGAGUCUAACCAUGGGCUGGAGUUGGGUGUUUCUCUUUCUCCUGUCAGUAACUGCAGGUGUCCACUCCCAGGUUCAGCUGCAGCAGUCUGGAGCUGAGUUAGUGAAGCCUGGGACUUCAAUGAAGUUGUCCUGCAAGGCUUCUGGCUAUGACUUCACCAGCUAUGAUAUAAACUGGGUAAAGCAGAGUCCUGAACAGGGAAUGGAGUGGAUUGGAUGGAUUUAUCCUGGAAGUGGUGGUACUGGCUACAAUAAUAAAUUCAAAGGCAAGGCCACCUUUACUGCAGACAAAUCCUCCAACACAGCCUACAUGCAGCUCAGCAGCCUGACAUCUGAGGACUCUGCAGUCUAUUACUGUGCAAGACACAGUGUUAUAACCACAUCCUGA